UUUGGGAUGAUGAAACAAAUCAGACGGAUUCCCACUGAUAAAUUCGUUUAUGUGAUUACACAACCAGCUACUUCUGACCCAC
rfam:Morus notabilis contig16870, whole genome shotgun sequence.